rnacentral:lncRNA from 1 species
AUCCAACUCAUAAUUUGUUGUCUUCUUACCUUUCCCUCGCUAUAAAAUCCCCUCAAUACUUCUCUUAAUACAACACAUCUCAUAAUGAUUCUUGUUGAGAAUCACUGCAUGCAAAAUGCCCAGAAACAAGAAGCUCAAUCUUCCCAGAGCAGGUGUUGUAGCCACUCAUGUUGAAGAAAAUAGGUUGCAGAGCAUCGAAUCAGUGAUUUACCAGAAAAGAGUUUGCCAAAAUGCUGAUUGCCGAGUUUUACAAGUCGGCUACCAAGCUAUUCUCUAACGGCACUUGGCAACUUUAUGAUAUUGAAUCAACUCCUUCUUCAAGCGUUCCUCUUUAGUGGAAAAUUUGAUGGGAAAAGUUGAUUCUUAAAUGAGAGGAAGAUACUCAAAGCUUUAUUUUCUAGUGAAUUGUAAUAACUUAUUGAGCUCAUCUUAUUAUUGUUUUAAAUCCAGUUAUUUACUGAAUUGUUUUUCAAAUAAAUUAUUUAAAGGAAUAUCCAUUCCACAAAAUGAUUAACUAUUACAAUCAAACAAUCCCUUCUGUAGAGAAAUAUAAUGUUAAAGAUAGAUUUCAUUUUCCAGAA